rnacentral:rRNA from 1 species
UACGAAGGGUGCAAACGUUGCUCGGAAUUAUUGGGCGUAAAGAGCGCGCAGGCGGCUUGGCAAGUCGGGUGUGAAAUCCCGGGGCUCAACCCCGUGACUGCAUCCGAUACUGUCAGGCUAGAGGUAGGUAGGGGAGAUCGGAAUUCCUGGUGUAGCGGUGAAAUGCGCAGAUAUCAGGAGGAACACCAGUGGCGAAGGCGGCUCACUGGUCCGGUACUGACGCUGAGGUGCGAAAGCGUGGGGAGCAAACAGG